CCUACGGGUGGCUGCAGUGGGGAAUAUUGGACAAUGGGCGAAAGCCUGAUCCAGCCAUGCCGCGUGUGUGAAGAAGGCCUUCGGGUUGUAAAGCACUUUCAGUGGGGAAGAAAGCCUUGGGGCUAAUACCCUCGAGGAAGGACAUCACCCACAGAAGAAGCACCGGCUAACUCCGUGCCAGCAGCCGCGGUAAUACGGAGGGUGCGAGCGUUAAUCGGAAUUACUGGGCGUAAAGCGCGCGUAGGCGGUCUGAUAAGCCGGUUGUAAAAGCCCCGGGCUCAACCUGGGAACGGCAUCCGGAACUGUCAGGCUAGAGUGCAGGAGAGGAAGGUAGAAUUCCCGGUGUAGCGGUGAAAUGCGUAGAGAUCGGGAGGAAUACCAGUGGCGAAGGCGGCCUUCUGGACUGACACUGACGCUGAGGUGCGAAAGCGUGGGUAGCAAACAGGAUUAGAUACCCCUGUAGUC
rnacentral:rRNA from 1 species